CCUGAAUCAAAUUUGACAGAACUGGGUUAGAGGAGGCCAUGCACGCAGUGGCACCUCGCCGGGAUGGAGGCCUGAGAGAGCAGCUUGGGGGAGCCUGGAUGGGACACCACUGACCCUGAGUGUGCCACAGACAGAGAAGAGACACAGAAGUUUGUCUGACAGGCCUUUCUUUAAAUCUAGCCUCAUCUUCAGUGCAUUUUUCAGUUAAGAAAAAUGUGUGAGGUGACAGCAGCAUCAGUGAAAUAGCAGCAUCAAAGCAUCUAAAGGAACAAACAUUCCCAAGAAAAGAAGGUUUUAUACAAACUUGGAGCACUUUUUCACACCUCUGCACAGCUGCUCCCCAACCACUGGAGGGUAUUUCUCAGGACGUCAGUCUGUGCUAAGAAGAUAAUGCCAGUUCAAGGAAUCCUGCCUCCUCGCACUCCUCCUGCUCAUCUCUCAUCCUGCCCCUACAGCACAAUGGAUUUCCCUCUCCAGGCUUUCUCAUGACCUGGACCCUUUAUGCAAUUCACCUCCUCAAAGAGCCUCACUAACAGCUCCAUGAGGGUUGCUGUGGGGGCAGCAAACUGGUGUGGUGAAAGAGCAGAAACCCAGGGCUCUUAAACUGGUUUUGCUGUGGAAGCCAGUGAGAAGUGAGGCAACCAUUGAGACAAUAAUAUCUAAAAUUACUGUAGAAUAAAUAUGUUAAAAUAUUCUAGAAAUUAUUUGGA
rnacentral:lncRNA from 1 species